UCAGUGCACAAUAAUGCAUAUCUUUACCUGACCAACUAAAUGUGAAGGAUAUGUAAGUUGUGAAAUUUGUAGAAAAUGUUGAUAUAGAUGGACCUUCUACUCUGUGCUUCGAUCUAUUAAUUAAGCAUUUAGAUUGUUUCGGAUUUGGCUAAAUUGUUUGUGUGUAUGUCAGUUAUGUUGACUCUUGUAUUAGGUGUGUGCAGAGCAUAGUGCACGAACACAUUGGUGCCAUAUGAUUCUUCCGGUUAAGGAUCUUGUCAGCAGGUGCAUUAUUGUGCUUUUUUUAUUUUAUUUUCUAGUAGCAUGUGAUAAAUAAGUUUUGUUUUUUUUAAUGAUAUGAUUCAAAUUCUUGUAAGUAAUUAAAAAAUUGUAAUUAAAUUUUUUAUUGAGACUAAUUGAUUGAACAAGCAUUUUCUUGUUAUACUAUGUUAAUAUUUGUAUUCUGAGAAGAAUUGAUGUUAUUUUUGCAGAAAUGUUAAGUUACAAAAUCAUUACCUUUUUGUUAUUAGUACAAAAAUAAGAACAGUGGCAUUUAAUAGCACUUUUUUAAAAGUGUUAUUAAAGAUUGGGUCUAUAAUAGCACUUUUCAUAAAAGC
rnacentral:lncRNA from 1 species